rnacentral:rRNA from 1 species
CGAACGGAGAUUAUACGCAGAGGCGAUUUCGGUCAAAUCAUGUAAAAUCUUAGUGGCGGACGGGUGAGUAACGCGUGGGUAACCUGCCUUACACUGGGGGAUAACACUUAGAAAUAGGUGCUAAUACCGCAUAAGCGCACGAAGCCGCAUGGAUUUGUGUGAAAAACUCCGGUGGUGUAAGAUGGACCCGCGUCUGAUUAGCUUGUUGGCGGGGUAACGGCCCACCAAGGCGACGAUCAGUAGCCGGCCUGAGAGGGUGGACGGCCACAUUGGGACUGAGACACGGCCCAAACUCCUACGGGAGGCAGCAGUGGGGGAUAUUGGACAAUGGGGGGAACCCUGAUCCAGCGACGCCGCGUGAGUGAAGAAGUAUUUCGGUAUGUAAAGCUCUGUCAGCAGGGAAGAAAGAAAUGACGGUACCUGACCAAGAAGCCCCGGCUAACUACGUGCCAGCAGCCGCGGUAAUACGUAGGGGGCAAGCGUUAUCCGGAAUUACUGGGUGUAAAGGGAGCGUAGACGGUUAAGUAAGUCUGGAGUGAAAGGCCGGGGCCCACCCCCNNNNCUNCUCUCCCCCCUNUUCCCCUUNNNUCCCCNCCCCCUCCGCCCCCUUCCUNNUNUNNCGNUGAAAUGCGUAGAUCUUAGGGAGAACACCUGUGGCGNGGGCGGCUUCCUGGCCUGUNNCUGNCGUUGCGGCUCGCCGGCGUGGGGGGCCCUCUUAAGGUAGNUNCCCUGGUAGUCCACGCCGUAAACGAUCCCUUAAAGGUGUCGGUGGGUAUGGACCCAUCGGGGCCGCAGCAAACGCAGUAAGUAAUCCACCUGGGGAGUACGUUCGCAAGAAUGAAACUCAAAGGAAUUGACGGGGACCCGCACAAGCGGUGGAGCAUGUGGUUUAAUCCGAAGCAACGCGAAGAACCUUACCAAGUCUUGACAUCCUCUUGAAUAAAGGGUAAUGCCUUUAGGCCUUCGGGACAAGAGAGACAGGUGGUGCAUGGUUGUCGUCAGCUCGUGUCGUGAGAUGUUGGGUUAAGUCCCGCAACGAGCGCAACCCUUAUCUUCAGUAGCCAGCAGGUAAAGCUGGGCACUCUGGAGAGACUGCCGGGGAUAACCCGGAGGAAGGUGGGGAUGACGUCAAAUCAUCAUGCCCCUUAUGAUUUGGGCUACACACGUGCUACAAUGGCGUAAACAGAGGGAAGCGAGCCCGCGAGGGGGAGCAAAUCCCAAAAAUAACGUCCCAGUUCGGAUUGUAGUCUGCAACCCGACUACAUGAAGCUGGAAUCGCUAGUAAUC